GACGAACGCUGGCGGCGUGCUUAACACAUGCAAGUCGAACGAUGAAGAAGAGAAACGCGAACUUCGGUUCAAAUUUCACUUCGGAUUAGUGGCAGACGGGUGAGUAACGCGUGAGCAACCUACCUCUUACAAAGGGAUAGCCUCGGGAAACCGUGAUUAAUACCAUAUGACACAUUCAUAAGGCAUCUUAAGACUGUUAAAGCUACGGCGGUAAGAGAUGGGCUCGCGUGCCAUUAGCUAGUUGGUGAGGUAACGGCCCACCAAGGCGACGAUGGGUAACCGGGCUGAGAGGGUGAACGGUCACAUUGGAACUGAGACACGGUCCAAACUCCUACGGGAAGCAGCAGUGGGGAAUAUUGCACAAUGGAGGGAACUCUGAUGCAGCGACGCCGCGUGAGCGAUGAAGGAAUUCGUUUCGUAAAGCUCUGUUCUAUGGGAAGAAAAGGACUGUACCAUAGGAGAAAGCCCCGGCUAAAUACGUG
rnacentral:rRNA from 1 species